GAUGAACGCUGGCGGCGUGCCUAAUACAUGCAAGUCGAGCGAACAGACGAGGAGCUUGCUCCUUUGACGUUAGCGGCGGACGGGUGAGUAACACGUGGGUAACCUACCUAUAAGACUGGGAUAACUUCGGGAAACCGGAGCUAAUACCGGAUAAUAUUUCGAACCGCAUGGUUCGAUAGUGAAAGAUGGCUUUGCUAUCACUUAUAGAUGGACCUGCGCCGUAUUAGCUAGUUGGUAAGGUAACGGCUUACCAAGGCAACGAUACGUAGCCGACCUGAGAGGGUGAGCGGCCACACUGGAACGGAGACACGGUCAAGACUCCUACGGGAGGCAGCAGUAGGCAAUAUGCCGCAAUGGGCGAAAGCCUGACGGAGCAACGCCGCGUGAGUGAUGAAGGUCUUCGGAUCGUAAAACUCUGUUAUUAGGGAAGAACAAACGUGUAAGUAACUGUGCACGUCUGGACGGUACCUAAUCAGAAAGCCACGGCUAACUACG
rnacentral:rRNA from 1 species